UACGGAGGGUGCAAGCGUUACCCGGAAUCACUGGGCGUAAAGAGCUCGUAGGCGGUUUGUCGCGUCUGCCGUGAAAGUCCGGGGCUCAACUCCGGAUCUGCGGUGGGUACGGGCAGACUAGAGUGAUGUAGGGGAGACUGGAAUUCCUGGUGUAGCGGUGAAAUGCGCAGAUAUCAGGAGGAACACCGAUGGCGAAGGCAGGUCUCUGGGCAUUAACUGACGCUGAGGAGCGAAAGCAUGGGGAGCGAACAGG
rnacentral:rRNA from 1 species